rnacentral:rRNA from 1 species
GGAGAAGAGAGAUAGGGCAGGGGGUGCGGAGAGGAACAAGGGUCGGUUCUAGGUGGAGGUGGAUGGCGGCAAGGGGUUCGGCGACUGCUCGUGGUCCGCCGGCUGCGGUACCUGCCGACGCCUCGAAGCGCGGUGGGCCGCAGUUGGCGUAGCGGCGGGGUACCCUAAGCACGCGCACCGGCGCAACUCGGCGUGCACGCGAUCUAGGUAGGCGGCCACACACGGCGGCGUCGUUGUUCAAGCCGUUACUGAGAGCCGGGACGACGAAGUAACGAGGACGGGUUCGGCCGGAGGCGAAAGACUGGGGCGGUGGCCGCUCGACGGUACGGGCAGGAGCAGCGUGACCACGACAGGAGGUCAUACGAACGACCGACGCUGGUCUCGGGACAUGUAUAAACCAAGCCAACGUCGCGACGAUGAAGGGCCACCUAGAUCCGACGGGUCCGAUCGUUGCACACACAACGAAAGAACUACCCAAAAUUCACCUAGAAUUAAACUACAUAGGACCGUGAACAGGCACACAUUUAGACUACACGUUUUGUGAAUCUUCAACGAUGAGCAUCCUAUAAGAACGAGCAUACACAUGUGCACUUCUUACCGAUCGAACAUCUAGGCAAAAGAAAAACAAUUUCUUUAUAUGUAAGUAAAAAUAACCU